GACGAACGCUGGCGGCGUGCUUAACACAUGCAAGUCGAACGGAAAGGCUCCAGCUUGCUGGAGUACUCGAGUGGCGAACGGGUGAGUAACACGUGGGUAAUCUGCCCUGCACUCUGGGAUAAGCCUGGGAAACUGGGUCUAAUACUGGAUAUGACCUUUCUCCUUAUGGGGUUUGGUGGAAAGUUUUUCGGUGUAGGAUGAGCCCGCGGCCUAUCAGCUUGUUGGUGGGGUGAUGGCCUACCAAGGCGACGACGGGUAGCCGGCCUGAGAGGGUGAUCGGCCACAAUGGGACUGAGAUACGGCCCAGACUCCUACGGGAGGCAGCAGUGGGGAAUAUGGCACAAUGGGCGGAAGCCUGAUGCAGCGACGCCGCGUGAGGGAUGACGGCCUUCGGGUUGUAAACCUCUUUCAGCAGGGACGAAGCGUAAGUGACGGUACCUGCAGAAGAAGCACCGGCUAACUACGUG
rnacentral:rRNA from 1 species